UAGACUUUUCCGUCGCAAAUUGGAUCUGAUGAAACGACAUGAGUUUGUCUGGGAGCCAUACACACCAACUGUGAUGGCAGCGUUGCCUCCAAUUUGUGUGGUUGGAAGUGUAGCCUGGUUCGCGGUGGUGCCACUGAUUUGUUUCCAUGUUGUUGAGUGGCACCAACCCGAUAGAGUUUUACGACAAUUUGGAUUGCAACAACCUAUUCCCGGGUGUCCUUCGCAACCGCAGAAUCUCCAUGGCAUAACGCUCAAAGGCAAACAAGAUGAGAAUUGGUUCCACCUGUUGGCCCCCAAUGAUUAGUCAGUGGAACAAUCGAGCAGAGUUUAGGGUCGACGUUUAUCCUCGACAGCAGGGCCUACUGGGUUAUAACUCGGACUACAUGGUGUGGUAUAGGGGUAAAACAAAGAUGUUUGUUGACCCAAACAAUGCAAACACAACUGCAUUGGGUGACGUUGUGGAGACUCUAUAGUAUAUGGUGUCACCACAAGGGAGGAACACAUGGACAGUUGAUGAUCUCGUGCCUUAUGUGGAUAAGUUAGCGAUUAUAUCAGAAGAGCAAGAGAGAAUCACUAAGCCAGUGUCACAUGGUCCAGCAUCAGAGCGUGAAUUUCCAGCACAAGAGUUUCACAUUCUUCAAUCAAGUGUUGAAACUCGGGGCAUAGGCAGACGAAGGGAGCUUGUUGAAGCGGAACAAUAUUCCCAACAAAUGAUGGAGCGUGGUCAUGGAAUGUAUUACACGCCAACGACAUUUUCCUAAUAUCCUUCACAGAUGUAUCAGUAUCCUUUUGAAGGUCAUCACACUGAUACUUCUACAAGCGAACAUUCGUUCGGUGGUGUUGCGGAAACACAACCUCAUUUUUCAUGGCCCACUAUGACUCCUUCACAGCAGCACGAUGCCCCCAUGGCAAAACCUAACGCCCUAUUUGCUCCGCAAUGGAAUGUACCUGGAGCAAUACCUGAUAUGGGCGACUUAUUAGGUGUUGAUUUGCAUCAGGAAUUUUCUGCUGAGGCUGAGCAAGCAGAAGCGGGGAGACAACGUGGCAGAAGAAAUCCUGAUCGUCAAGCGCAAAGAUGGGAUCGACCAUGUGGCACAUCCUCACGACAUCACGGACACCAUAAUGACUGAUUUUGAUGUCUCUGUGUAAAUUUGUUGUUGUUUGUAAGACAUUUGAUUUUGACAGUUAAUGUAUCGCAUCUCAUUUAUC